rnacentral:ncRNA from 1 species
GACCCGAAAGAUGGCGAUCCACACCUGGUCGAGGUGAAAUCAGAGGAAACUCUAGUGGAAGUCCGAAGCGCCUCUGACGUGCAAAUCUAACCGAAUUUAGAGGUGAAAGGCCAGCCGAGCCGUCUAGUAUCUAG